rnacentral:lncRNA from 1 species
CUACGUUGCAAGGAACGAAUACCAACUGAUUUGACGUAGCCUCAAGUAUCCUAUCUGAUAAUGCACGUGCUCUAGCCUCAACUGAUUUUCCAAGAUAUGGUAAAUGGAUUCACAAACAUAAACUUCCUGAGUUCCAUCUUUCUUCAUCUUUUUCAUCAAAUGACUGCCAAAAAUUUGGAUAUGUUUAGAUAAGAAAUAAACAUGUUAAUAUAAAUGAGAAUAACUUAAUAAGUCAUUUACCAAACAUAUGUGAUAAUGCAGUUCCCCGUACUCGGUUCCAGAUUACAGAAGGGAAUCACAUCAUCCUUCUUUAGAAUCCAAACUGUAAUAUCAUGCCCGAAGACUUCAAAGUCUAUUUCACAUGUAUUCCUACAUCUGUGAACGACUUCUCCAUCAUAUAGUAUAGUGCUAGCAAUGAUCCAGGCAAUGAUGACAAAUUCUUCACCACGGAGUCCUUGACAACAUUUUUUGCAACUGCCUUCUUAUUGCAUUUCUAGAUAAAUGUACACAACAUGUCAGAGGUAUUAAUUAAUAUGUCCAAGGCUGUUAGAAAAAAACUAAAUUACCUCAAUUGACUUUAAUGACAGGUAUAUAUUCAAGUUAUUAUAUAUGGCAGGUGGAUAUUAAUUACUAUGUCCAAGGCUGUUAGAGAAACUAAAAUUACCUCAAUUGACUUUUCCACCACCAAAUCACUAGGCCAUGCGACAUGGGUUCCUAGCUAAUGCACUUCCCACGGUCUCCAUCUCAUCUAAAAUACGAAAGGGUAGUCGUGCAUUCUCAUCGACAACCUCAUCAAUCGCCACACGUAACGAGUCUUCAGGCAUUGGAGAUCCGUGUAGGACAUCACCAGCAACAACCACCGUUCCAUAAGCUACAACUUUGGUGGAUUCUUUUUCAAGUAAUUUUACCAUCUUCCCCUGCAUCAAAUAAAGUAAAGUUGUUUGUUAGUUGUGAAGCUGACUUUGUGUGUUCUUUGGUCUAUAUAUGAAAGGAAGAAACGACAAAAAUACUUAUUACAAGUAUUCACGUAAUACCUCCAGUCCAACUGAUUUUUCAACUAAUACGACGUCUUCAUCGUCUUCAACCUGUUUCUUCUUAGGCUUUACCACAGAACAGCUGCCCAAUCCUUCAGACUUGUCUUCCUUAUCACAUACCUUCGCUUCAAGUUUUCCAAUCCUAUUUACCAAUUCAUAGAUCACUUUAUCUAGCACAAGUAUGCGUCCAUCUUGUUCUUUUAUUUAUUUCUUCGCAUCCUCCAAUUCAACUUGUGAUUUAUCAUCAGUUUCUUGUAUAUUUCCUCUAGGCGUAUGGAAGAAUGAUUUGGGUUUGACACCUGCCCCUAAACCUCACACACGACCAGUAUGUUCUACUUUUUGCAGGCCACGUUACAACAAAUCGCUUGAACCGGACUCAUAAUCAAGUAUCCCUUCCUCCUUUUCACGUAUGUAGUCAUCCUGUUAUUUUCAAACAAUAACAUGAUUAAAAGGUAAAUGUGCAAUUUAAUGAUCAAUUUUAAGGGAAUUAACAUAAUGCUAUGCCUUACUAUUUUAUGAAUGGUAUUCUUCAAGUUUUCAUUCUCAAUUUCUCCAUCCUUAGUCAAUCUUGCUCUCUUCCACAUCAUAGCUCUGUCUAUUUCUUCAUCACCUCUAAAUUCAGUCUUCUAUAAAACAUUUCAUGCAAAUAAUCUGAAGUUAGAACAUAAAACAAUAUUGAUAAUAAUAACAAAAAAGAAGUUAAGCAACAACAGCCAUAGGGAUUUUUUAAGUUAAGAAACAACAGCCAUAGGAAUUUUUGAAGUUAAGCAACAGCUGCCAAUGAUUUGAUGAGAUGCUUACUUUUGCUUUGGACUUCAUAUUUCAAGCACAGCACAUCUUACGAAUCAGUUGGAAAGAAUUCAAUGGUUAAUUAAACCAAUGAAGUACAGCAGGAAAGGAAUUUUUUACCUUGAUUUCUUCGGCAAAUCUUGCAUAUCCUUUGCGGGAAUGGGGGUAUAUGUUCCCACGUUGUCUCUCUUUUUGUUGCUCACUCAAAGCCUACAAUAUUAUCGUAGUGACGUAGUAGACAAGUACAACAUUCACUAAAAUGUAUAGAUACGAACUUAUGUACCUUAAAUUCAGACGACAUGCGGCGGACUACAAAUUGAUUCCAAUCUAAUGGCAGAAUGCCACUUCCCGGUGGCGGUUCAUGCAACUUUGAAGCAUCAUCUUGAUUCGGUACAAU